CCCGAGAGAAGAUUAUUGCAGCGCAAUCAGAACUACAGAAAGACUAGGAUGGACAACUUGAUUGACAGGAGAAGGCUAGAGCAGGCAGCAACACAAAAAAUCAUCAUUGGACAGACAUUUUGAUAAAUAUUACUGCAGCCAAUUUAUUAUUAACACAGUGGGACAGCUUUACAUCUUGCAUCACACUUUUCACAGCCCUUAUGGUAAACAUGCCAUAUCUGACAAUUACAAGAUGAAAACAAAGACCUCACUAAGUGUCUCCUGGCCCUGCAUCUUUAUCUGCUUGCUCAGUUAACCCUCUCCCCACUUCAGCUGUGCAGCUAAACGAGCAGAUAGAAACAUAUUAUACAUAUAUUAACAUUUACUGUGUGUUCAUAUAGAGAACACAACCCCAGCAGCAAUUCCCAAAGGUUAAGCAAUCUGUGGCACUUAUUCCUAAAACAUGGGAGAGGAUUGGGGCUGAGGUGGGAAGCUGCCAGGACAAGACAGAGGAUCAAAGGGAAUCACUUCUGAAGGGAAGAGAGGUCACCCAUGGCUGUGUCCUGGCUGCAGGGACAGCCCCAGUGUGAGCAGCCCUGGAUCACAAUCUGGGAUCCAGCUGGGAGGGAUCCCACAGCAGGGAGGGAUCCCACAGCAAGAAAGGAUCCCACAGCAGGGAGGGAUCCCACAGCAGGGAGGGAUCCCACAGCAAGAAAGGAUCCCACAGCAGGGAGGGAUCCCACAGCAGGGAGGGAUCCCACAGCAGGAAAGGAUUCCACAGCAAGAAAGGAUCCCACAGCAGGGAGGGAUCCCACAGCAGGGAGAGAUCCCACAGCAGGAAAGGAUCCCACAGCAGGGAGGGAUCCCACAGCAGGGAGGGAUCCCACAGCCAGGAGGGAUCCCACAGCAGGGAGGGAUCCCACAGCAGCUCUGAUUUCCUGGCUGACAAAUCUCUUCCUACACAACCACUGCAGCUCGGACCAGCAGCUCUUUCUCUCUGCUGGCUGCUUGGCUUCUGGGAUUAGUAAUCUCGUGGACCUUGGAGCUAAAAUCCUAUUUUCACCUAAUUCACACAAAGGAGUUGCUCUUGGAAUUUUUUUUACAGAUAACGAAGCACAACUUGGAUUUCUGAAAUCACCAAGUCGAGCUCUCUGCCACUUGAACACCUGGAGACACGUUUUGGAAUGGAAUCCUGUGUGCUAA
rnacentral:lncRNA from 1 species